rnacentral:rRNA from 1 species
GACGAACGCUGGCGGCGUGCUUAACACAUGCAAGUCGAACGGAAAGGCCCUGCUUUUGUGGGGUGCUCGAGUGGCGAACGGGUGAGUAACACGUGAGUAACCUGCCCUUGACUUUGGGAUAACUUCAGGAAACUGGGGCUAAUACCGGAUAGGAGCUCCUGCUGCAUGGUGGGGGUUGGAAAGUUUCGGCGGUUGGGGAUGGACUCGCGGCUUAUCAGCUUGUUGGUGGGGUAGUGGCUUACCAAGGCUUUGACGGGUAGCCGGCCUGAGAGGGUGACCGGCCACAUUGGGACUGAGAUACGGCCCAGACUCCUACGGGAGGCAGCAGUGGGGAAUAUUGCACAAUGGGCGGAAGCCUGAUGCAGCAACGCCGCGUGCGGGAUGUCGGCCUUCGGGUGGUAAACCGCUUUCGCCUGUGACGAAGCGUGAGUGACGGUAAUGGGUAAAGAAGCACCGGCUAACUACGU